rnacentral:sRNA from 1 species
AGGCAUUUCCCCCGUCUUGGAACAGGACAGAAUUAGCAGUGUAUAGUGUGAAAGUUACCUCUGUGUAUGCAAGAAAGGGGUGAUUAAAUGGUGAUAGCAACUUCCAAAAUAUUGGCAAUGUCACUACAUUUCGAUCCAACAUUCAAGGACUUUGAUGGCGCGGAGGAGAAAAUUUAAGCCGUGUCAAAUUUAUCAAUGUCUGAUCUGCCUAUCGCUAAAAAUUGUAGCGACAACAAAUGCUAUAUUGUACUUCUAUGGAUAGAAUUGCAAGUAGAAACGAACUCACCACAUUUGAAUCCAUAGUCAAGACACGGCAAUUUGGGUAUAAGGAUUAAAUCUGAUCUUGGAACAUGCUGAAGACGUAACAAUAUCCAGACGCCCACAGCUGUACUCACAAUUUCCUUAUUUCAAGGACAGCAAAGGUGAAAAGCUGUUGCUGGUUGGAUGGUGCGAAAGAAAGAAGACUUGAUUGUAUUUUGAAAUAUCGUUCUUUGCAGUCCCAGAAGUAUUCUGUUCUUUGAAGCAAAAGGUUGCAUCCAAAUGCUAACAAACCCCUAAUUACCAUAUUGGAUGAGGGUGUUCUGUGACAUUUUGUAAGAAGAGAUAGAGGGUCCUGCUAUGUGCGAUCCAAAUUGUGUUUUUCAUCUUUGGUCAUUAUGCAGAUGUAAGCAUUUGAAUACCUGAAAAUAGAGUGAAGUUCAUUUCAACACACUUCAUUAAGCAUUCAAAAAUUGCCCAUCGUUUACUUCCAAAGCCAUCGAUUGCCAUCUAUAUUUAAUUACAUAUGACGUCAGGGAUCCUCUCAUAAUAGGAGAAUGUGACGUCAAACUUGGGGAUUACCUCAUAAGAAAUAUCAAAAUGUGUGUGAAAAGAUAAGGCCGUGAAAUUUGGAGACUUCCAGAAGAUGGGAAGUGAUAUGUCCUUUAAGCUUGGAUUAUCCAACCAUUUGGGAAUUUAUUUGUUCGGAUCUCAGUGCGACUCCACCACAGGCCACAUCCGUACUUCUAAUUGAAUAGUGGAAGUUAACUUUCAGCUGUUAUUUAACAUAGGCGCCUAUAAAACUGUUUACCGGGUAUAUGUAUUGUAUUUACAUGUAAAUGAAUAUCUUCGCUUGUAAUUAACAAACGAUGUCCGAGUAACAUAUCUUUAUACAUGUAUAUUUUAAACUUAAAAUCAGCGAUAUAGUGUUAAGCAGUCCGUUCUCCAUAUCUAGAUAUGUAGGAGUUAGCGGCUAGCUGACUGCGUAGCACCUACACGUACUAUCUUAAAGGCAACCAAUGUACAUGUACAUGUAGCUUCAACUAGUCGAUAGCAAAAGUACAAAGAACCAUUAAUGAACAAUGUUGGAAUUAUUAAUUAUAGCAGCCAGAUAUAAAGAUGUAAUUUUUUAAAAUUCAUAACAAUGCGUAUAUUCUUGCGCCGACGACUAGGUAAUUUCACCGGUUGUCUUGUCGUGCAUAUUUGAAUUAUAGAAUCAAACUUUUGUAAGAAAUGGAGAAAAUAAUAGAAUGUAUACAGGAUGUAAAUGUAAAUAUAGUCUUAUGUUAACAAUUUUUGCUCUAUAUACGUGCAUAUUUACAUGUACAUGUAGGCGUAUAGAAUGAUAACUUUCGUAAUCCUAUCAACACUUUUUCAGUUGUUAUUCUGAUCCGUGUGGGCGGAGGGGGGUUACAAAGUUCGGCAUAAUCGUAACCUUAUGGUUAUGAACCAUUUAAGGAAGAAACAAUGCUUAUAGAGGAUGUAAAUAUAGUUUUAUGUAAGCACGUUUUGCACUUUAUACGUGCAUAUCUACAUGUACAUGUACCCGUAUAGAUUGAUUACUUUCAUAAUCCUAUAAACACUUAUCAGAUCUGGGCAGUGUUUAUCUAACAUAGCAGGUGCAAUGUACCUGUAUGUCUAUUGUGGUCUGUUAUUUCUAUUGCCAUGUUGCUAUUCUCAACAAUGUAGUGCUGUGUUGCUGAAAACUUGUUGCUUUUGACAAUAUAUUGAUGUGUUGUUGAAAAAUUGUUGCUUUUGGCAAUAUAUUGAUGUGUUGCUGAAAAAUUGUUGCUUUUGACAUUAUAUUGAUGUGUUGUUGAAAAAUUGUUGCUUUUGACAAUAUAUUGAUGUGUUGUUGAAAAAUUGUUGCCUUUGGCAAUAUAUUGAUGUGUUGCGGGCAGUGUGUUGUUGCCGAUAGUGUGAUACAUUGCAUUAACAUAAUUUAGAUCAUAAAGUAACAGUGUUAUUGGUUGUUGAAAAUGUGUUGUUGAAAACAUCAUUUUAAAAUAUGUAACUGUUACUAUGUUGUUGACAAACUGUUGUUGACAUAUUGCGGACGACGAUAGAUUGUUGAUGAUUUCAUUGUUAUAUCGUUGAGGUUGAUGAGGAUUUGAUGUUGGUAGGGUUUAUUCUUUGUUGGCGUUCUCAAUGCAAUUGUUUUGUUGCUGAAAUAAAAAUGAUUUUUACAGUUUCAAUUAAAAAUAAAUAUAUACAGUUUC